GCCGGUUUAGCUCAGCGGCAGAGCACUUCCUUGGUAGGGAAGGGGCCGACAGUUCAAUUCUGUCAACCGGCACCA
rnacentral:tRNA from 1 species